rnacentral:rRNA from 1 species
UACAGAGGUGGCAAGCGUUGUUCGGAAUUACUGGGCGUAAAGGGCGCGUAGGCGGCCUUCUAAGUCAGACGUGAAAUCCCCCGGCUUAACCUGGGAACUGCGUCUGAUACUGGGAGGCUUGAGUAUGGGAGAGGGAUGUAGAAUUCCAGGUGUAGCGGUGAAAUGCGUAGAGAUCGGGAGGAACAUCAGUGGCGAAGGCGGCCAUCUGGGACAACACUGACGCUGAGGCACGAAAGCGUGGGGAGCAAACAGG